UAGAGUUUGAUCAUGGCUCAGAUUGAACGCUGGCGGCAGGCCUAACACAUGCAAGUCGAACGGUAACAGGAAUCAGCUUGCUGAUUCGCUGACGAGUGGCGGACGGGUGAGUAAUGUCUGGGAAACUGCCUGAUGGAGGGGGAUAACUACUGGAAACGGUAGCUAAUACCGCAUAACGUCGCAAGACCAAAGAGGGGGACCUUCGGGCCUCUUGCCAUCGGAUGUGCCCAGAUGGGAUUAGCUAGUAGGUGGGGUAACGGCUCACCUAGGCGACGAUCCCUAGCUGGUCUGAGAGGAUGACCAGCCACACUGGAACUGAGACACGGUCCAGACUCCUACGGGAGGCAGCAGUGGGGAAUAUUGCACAAUGGGCGCAAGCCUGAUGCAGCCAUGCCGCGUGUAUGAAGAAGGCCUUCGGGUUGUAAAGUACUUUCAGCGGGGAGGAAGGGGGUAAAGUUAAUACCUUUGCUCAUUGACGUUACCCGCAGAAGAAGCACCGGCUAACUCCGUGCCAGCAGCCGCGGUAAUACA
rnacentral:rRNA from 1 species